rnacentral:rRNA from 1 species
UACGUAGGGUGCGAGCGUUGUCCGGAAUUAUUGGGCGUAAAGAGCUCGUAGGCGGCUUGUCGCGUCGUCCGUGAAAACCUGCGGCUCAACUGCAGGCUUGCGGUCGAUACGGGCAGGCUAGAGUUCGGUAGGGGAGGCUGGAAUUCCUGGUGUAGCGGUGAAAUGCGCAGAUAUCAGGAGGAACACCAAUGGCGAAGGCAAUCCCCUGGGCCUGCACUGACGCUCAUGCACGAAAGCGUGGGGAGCAAACAGG